UCUGUCCGCAAGGCAAGAAUUUACUUCUAGUGCAGAAGGGCGCCCAGCAAUCAGAACCCAAAGCCAGCGGCUGAGCAGGUGGCCUCACGGCCUUCGUCCCCGCCGUGGGUCUUGGCUGGGGCCCAAUGGUCAGGUGGCCGCACAAUCUUUGGCACAAACAGCUGAGGAAAAGGGCGCUUAGCAGCUGCUCCCUGGUCAGGCUGACUACGCUGCCCCCAGAGGGUCAUCUGAAGAGGUGUCCUUCAACUGCCCAGCUCCUUUGCUGUCCCUUGUUCCUAGCUGGGGAAGCCUCUUGGGUGGAAUGCCUUUUGGCGCAGACACAAUCACUGAGGAGGCGGAGGCUGGAGGCAGAGACUCUAGAAAGGCAGGCAGCCGUGUAAGCCAUGGCAGUCGGGCGGCCAGGGGGAAUCGGAGUUGCCAGUGGGACAAAAACAGCCCGGGGCUUGCUGGCCCUCUGAAGGGACACCCUCGCUGCACACAGGCCCAAAGAGCAGCCACCAUGACUCCAACCUCUUUAAAGGAGCUCAAUGUCUUUGCAGAAGUGUGCAGAUCACACGGAAGCAAGUGAUUUAAGGAAAAGGAACCUCGAGUCGGGUGAGUCAGCCAGCAACCGCCUCCCCGCCCCGCCCCACAGCGCAGCUCCACGGGGCCGCAGGACAGGAUCAGCGACACCCAGACACCACUCCCCACCUGCUCCGGCUCCAAACUCCCCAGGCAGAAACAAGAGGGACUGAGCUCCGUGCAGGAUGAACACGGGAAUUGUGACACAGGUCAACACCCUCCGGCCACCCUCGGGCCACACGCUUGACUAGAGAGGCUCAGUCCAAAGUCUGUAGGACCUGAGAAGCUCGUGUGUCCCUUUAGAGUGAAAACACAAAUGAGGCCUUUCCAAGGCGCCAACUUUGAGUUGUGUUUGCAGUGAUGGCACCGAAAGGCUGCUCUGGAUCUUUCUUUCUGUUGAUUAAUCCACGUUCAUUCCCUUUUGGGGGCACAAAUGAAGUAGUUCAUGAAGACUUAAGUGGCUAUGAAGACCAUACAUCUCUGAGAAUGUCUUAAAGAAAGGUCACCAGACCACGUCAAUGUUCAUGGCAGCUCAAUUCACAAUAGCCAACUAUGGAACCAACUCAGGUGCCCUUUAACAGAUGAAUGAAUAAAGAAAAUAUGGUACCUAUAUACAAUGGAAUAUUACUCAGCCAUAAAGAAGAAUGAAAUGAUGGCAUUUGCCAGUAAAUGGAUGGAACUGGAGAAUAUCAUGCUAAGUGAAAUAAGCCAGUCCCAAAAAAACAAAGGCCAAAUGUUCUCUCUGAUCUGUGGAGGCUGAUUCACAAUGAGGGGGAUGGGGUGGGUGAAAGAAGAAUAGAAAUUCACUGGAUUAGACAAAGAGGAAUGAAGGGAAGGGAGGAGGGAUGGGAAUAGGAAAGACAGUAGAAUGAACUGUCUUUUCCUAUAUGAAUACAUAUACGAAGCCCCACAUCAUGUGGCUCACAAGAAUGGAAAGUUAUCCUCCAUGUCUGUAUGAUAUGUCAAAACACUCUCUAGUGUCAUGUGUAUCUAAAAAGAACAAAUAAAAAAUACUGAAAGGAAGGUGACCUGAACCUUUGAGCUCUGAACAGCGGUUGGCAACUGCUGAACCUCACACCUGCGAUUUCCCGAGCUCCUGGGUGGGAGCUGGCUC
rnacentral:lncRNA from 1 species